rnacentral:rRNA from 1 species
UGCCCACUGAUAAAUUAUUAAAGGGCUGCAGUAAUUUGACUGUACAAAGGUAGCAUAAUCAUUAGUCAUUUAAUUGAUGACUUGUAUGAAAGAUUGGAUGAAAUAUAAACUGUCUUAAAAGUAUUUUAUAGAAUUUAAUUUUUUAAUUAAAAAGUUAAGAUAAUUAAAAAAGACGAGAAGACCCUAUAGAGUUUUAUUUUUUAGUGGAUUAUGAUUAUUUUUAUUUUAAAAUUUAAAUUUAUUAAAAAAUUUUAUUGGGGUGAUAGAAAAAUUAAAUAAACUUUUUUUAAUUAAGAACAUAAAUAAGUGAUUUAUUGAUCCAUUAAUAGUGAUUAUAAGAAAAAAUUACCUUAGGGAUAACAGCGUAAUUUUUUUUUUUAGUUCAAAUAAGAAAAAGAGUUUGCGACCUCGAUGUUGGAUUAAGAUAAAAUUUAAAUGCAGAAGUUAAAAUUUUGA